rnacentral:rRNA from 1 species
UACGUAGGGUACAAGCAUUACUCGGAAUUAUUGGGCGUAAAGGGCGCGUAGGCGGAAGGGUAAGUCAGAUGUGAAAUACCAAAGCUCAACUUUGGUGCUGCAUUUGAAACUGCUUUUCUAGAGGACUGACGGAGAAAGCGGAAUUCCACGUGUAGCGGUGAAAUGCGUAGAUACGUGGAGGAACACCGGUGGCGAAAGCGGCUUUCUAGUUUUUUCCUGACGCUGAGGCGCGAGAGCAAGGGGAGCAAACAGG